GCUGGCGGGGCGCGGGCGGGGCAGCGCACAGGCCGGCCCUCUCGCGGGACUCAGUUUCCCCGUCUGCGCGCCCCACAUAUUCGCUUUCCGCAGGUUCUCUCGCUGAGAUUCGCGUCCUUCAAACUAAUGGAACUUUGCAAGGGGGCCCUGCGGCGGCUUCGCGUGGGAGCGCCGGGGAAAGUUCCUGCAAAUCGCCGGACUGGGGGCCCGCCCGGGAAGCUCGGACUGGGCCGGGCAGGGACUGCAGGGGCCUCUGCGCAGACCCGGGGCGUUGCGGCACCGCGGACCCCGGUCACGCGCUGGUUCUGCCCCCGGUACCCCGCACGCGGGACCCUGACCGCGGGGCCUCUGCGGCCGGACGAAGGCAGCGUCCGCGGAGCUGGCAGAAAGCCCGCGCCCAGACCCACAGUGAAGUGAUAAAAGCAGAGAGCAGAAAGGAGAAAACUGAGGGCCAGAAAGGGUGACUCCCCUGAGUGUCAUGCCACAAGUUGAGUGCUGGAGCCAGGACACCUUCCAAACCGGCUGUGCCUGCCUGCAAGCCCCAUCCUCCUCCAUCCCCCUGAGCAGCCAGACUGCAGAGGGAAUGAGCGGACCGAAAACAGUGUGGCCGCAACUUCCCCACUGCUUUGCGGGAGGUGGAGGGAGUUUCUAGGCUCUUUCCCUGUUGGGGAAUUAAGUAGCUGGGGAUCCCACUGAGUCUCCACCACCCUCUCACCCAUUUUCCACCCCUCCCCCACCACAUAUACAUUCUGCUCCCCCAGUGCCAAAUAACUUGCAUUUUCUGGAACACACCUGUCUGCUUACGGUCUCUGUGCCUUUCUUUGCCCACAUCUCCCCUCUUCUUGAAACACCCCUCCUCCCCUCCAGCGUGGGCUCAUGUGACCUAGAGAAGCACGUGGGAGCCCUGUCAUCUGGGGGACUUGGGUUCAAAUCCCACUUCUGGUCCUUAAGUCUGUGACUCUGGGCCUUUGUUUAAUAACUGGAGGAGUUUCAUUAGGAAAAUGGCAGUGACCACAUAUGUCCCUGGAGUGACUGAUGUGCCACCCACAAGCUUCUAUUUGGUCAGUGCUGGGUCCCAUCGUCCCAUCUAGCAUGCUCCUCUUCCAUCCUCGUGCCCCCACUCAGUGCCAUUGUCUCUGCCUCUCACCCUCUGUGCUGCUAUUCCUGCCCUCAUCACCUCCUCCCUAGGGCAGAGGCCCCGUCUUCUUUACCAUGCCCCAGUGCCAGCACAGUGCUUUGGCAAGUUAUUCAGCACUGGGGGAGUAGAGUGUAUGUGUGGUGGGGGAGGGGGUGGAGAAUGGGUAAGAGGGUGAUGGAGACUCAGGGGGACCCCCAGCUACUUAAUACCCCUGAGGAAGUGUCGGCCGAAGUGGACCCACUCCUGUGACAGUUCACAGCCUAGAAGAGGCGUCUGUAACCACGGUGACCAGUAAGUGCCAGCCCUGGGGCCACGUGGCUGUUCUAGAGAAGGAAGACAGCACUACCCUGAGAGCCAUGCUGGUGGCUUCAUCAGGAAGGGAGUCAGCAGGGGGAGGACUGGGGGACCAAGCGGUCCCUAAGAAGCAGAAUUUGCAAUACCCAAGGUUUUAGAAAGAGCAACCUGGCAGGGCCACUGCACAAUGAGAUCACAGACUCACCUCCCAGCUGUGAGUGCAGCUCACCCCACCUGCUCUGACCCAGGCACCGGUUAUGAAGAAGACAAGCAGCUCUACAGAGGGGCCUCAAGAAAUCCUUCGAAACAGAAAUCAAAGUCUUGCUGGAAGGGUUCUGGGCACCCUGGACUGUCCACAUGGGAGGCUGUUGGUGCGUGUGCCUACGUGUGUCCAUCAGUGGAUGCACGAAGAAGGAAAUGAUUCCUCGUGGACAUCUUUGUCGUCUUCUUAGGUCUCCUGUGUGCUGCAUGUCGUACACUGAAGACACCAAUUGACCCAACUCCAUCAGGUCAAAGCUUCUCCACAUGGAAAAAACCUGUUAGCCUAUACCAAGUGAUUAUCUUUAUAACCAGGCCCUAUAGCUGUUUCCAAAGCAAGAAUCCAGCAUCUUAAAGCUAUUUCAAUCUGUUACUUACUAUUUAUUCUGGUAACCUUAUUUAUCAAAUGUCAGGGCUUGAAAUCUUUCAGGGAAGUUGUAAUUUGAUACGUACCUAUGAUUGAUUCUCAAAUGUUAAAUUUAAAGGUAUGUAUAAAUAAUAUGUCAUUUGAAAUAGUAUGGUUCUAGAAAUGUUGAAAACAGACUGAAUUCAACUCAUUUAGUAAUCUGGAAGUACUAUUUUAAAAGAGAAGUUUUCAAGACUUCUACUGAGACAGUAGAAGUAGUGUGUUAAGAGCCCAAACUUUGGUAUCAGAAAGAUACAUUUCAAGCCUAAUCUGACUCUGGACAAGUGGCUAAGUCUGCUUCCAAACCUGCAGAAUAGGAGAUGGAUGUGACUAUAAAAAGAACAACAAAGAGGGGCCUUUGUGAUGAUGGAACUGUUCUGCAUCUUGACUGUAUCAGUGUCAGUAUCUUGGUUAUAAUAUUGUAUUAGUUUUUCAAGAUGCUGUUGGGGGGAAACUGAGUAAAGG
ensembl:lncRNA novel transcript